GGUAUAGUAGCCUAACGGUAAGGCGGAAGUUUGCAAAACUUUAUACGUGGGUUCGACUCCAACCUAUACCU
rnacentral:tRNA from 1 species